CCGGGUGUAGCGCAGCUGGUAGCGCGCCUGAUUUGGGAUCAGGAGGCCGCUGGUUCAAGUCCAGUCACUCGGACCA
rnacentral:tRNA from 1 species